rnacentral:lncRNA from 1 species
AACUCGUCGGACCCCGCCAAGACAGAGGUGGGACGGGCCCUACUGGCAAACGUAGGCAACCGCCGCCGGGAAGCCGCCGGCCGAGCCCGUGGCCGAGCCUGCCGCGCCGCCUCCAAGAACACCCCCAGCUGAGGCCGUGCGAGGGAGACCGGGAGCUCCACCAGGUCACCAUCCUCUGCCCAGUCGGCCCAGGCCUUCGGCGAGCGCCUGAAGGAGAGGGUGGGAACCCGGUGAACGCCG